rnacentral:rRNA from 2 species
CUGCGGCUGCUACCAUGCAGUUGAACGGGCCUUGGAGUGGUAGCAAUACCAUUUCGAGGUUAGUGGCGGACGGGUGAGUAACACGUAGGUAACCUACCCUUAGGCGGGGGACAACUCAGGGAAACUUGAGCUAAUACCGCAUAAAUCCAUCGGCUGGGAUGCUGGUGGGGAAAGUGGCAACACACCUAGGGAUGGGCCUGCGGCCUAUCAGGUAGUUGGUGGGGUAAGAGCCCACCAAGCCGAAGACGGGUAGCCGGGCUGAGAGGUUGAACGGCCACACUGGAACUGAGACACGGUCCAGACUCCUACGGGAGGCAGCAGUGGGGAAUCUUGCGCAAUGGGGGAAACCCUGACGCAGCGACGCCGCGUGGAGGAUGAAGGUCUUCGGGUUGUAAACUCCUUUUCUUGGGGAAAAUGGUGAUGGUACCCAAGGAAUAAGCCACGGCUAACUCUGUGCCAGCAGCCGCGGUAAGACAGAGGUGGCGAGCGUUGUUCGGAAUUACUGGGCUUAAAGGGCGAGUAGGCGUCCCGGUAAGUCAGAUGUGGAAUCUUUUCGCUUAACGAAAAAAUUGCAUCUGAAACUAUCGGGAUUGAGUCAGUGAGGGGAGGGCGGAAUUCCUGGUGUAGCGGUGAAAUGCGUAGAUAUCAGGAGGAAGGCCUGUGGCGAAGGCGGCCCUCUGGCACUGUACUGACGCUGAGGCGCGAAAGCGUGGGGAGCAAACAGGAUUAGAUACCCUGGUAGUCCACGCCCUAAACGGUGGGCAUUAGUGUAGGGCUCGUAACGGUUCUGUGCCGAAGGAAACCAUUAAAUGCCCCGGCC